rnacentral:rRNA from 1 species
AGGACGAACGCUGGCGGCGUGCUUAACACAUGCAAGUCGAGCGGAAAGGCCCUUCGGGGUACUCGAGCGGCGAACGGGUGAGUAACACGUGAGCAACCUGCCCCUGGCUCUGGGAUAGCCUCCGGAAACGGGGAUUAAUACCGGACAUUCACUGUUGCCCGCAUGGGUGGUGGUGGAAAGUUUUUCGGCCAGGGAGGGGCUCGCGGUCUAUCAGCUUGUUGGCGGGGUAACGGCCCACCAAGGCGACGACGGAUA